AGAGUUUGAUCCUGGCUCAGGAUGAACGCUAGCUACAGGCUUAACACAUGCAAGUCGAGGGGAAACGACAUCGAAAGCUUGCUUUUGAUGGGCGUCGACCGGCGCACGGGUGAGUAACGCGUAUCCAACCUGCCCACCACUUGGGGAUAACCUUGCGAAAGUAAGACUAAUACCCAAUGACGUCUCUAGAAGACAUCUGAAAGGGAUUAAAGAUUUAUCGGUGAUGGAUGGGGAUGCGUCUGCUUAGCUUGUUGGCGGGGUAACGGCCCACAAAGCAACGAUCAGUAGGGGUUCUGAGAGGAAGGUCCCCCACAUUGGAACUGAGACACGGUCCAAACUCCUACGGGAGGCA
rnacentral:rRNA from 1 species